AAUACGAUUUCAACGGAUUCAAUAAUAUGAUCACGUUACUUUUUUAUUAAGUGUUUAUCACCAUAAUAGCUGUUUGUUCAAAUUCUGUAGAAUUUUGUGUUCCAAGUGUAAAUCUAAACCUAGUAACGUGUAUGAAAUGCAACCACGGGUUCAGAUAAUCCGGUGAAAAAACCAAGAAGUUUUUAAAAAAAUUAAUCUUUUUUUGUCAGAUGAUUCAAUAUCGAUUAUAAGGACACUGUGAGAAUACUUAGUGACACCAUCAUUACCCAUGUUGAGCUAUAUUUGUGAAAUAUGGGACGGGUAUACAAAUAAAUUUCGGCGU